GAUGAACGCUGGCGGCAUGCCUUACACAUGCAAGUCGAACGGUAACAGGUCUUCGGAUGCUGACGAGUGGCGAACGGGUGAGUAAUACAUCGGAACGUGCCCGAUCGUGGGGGAUAACGAAGCGAAAGCUUUGCUAAUACCGCAUAAGAUCUACGGAUGAAAGCAGGGGACCGCAAGGCCUUGCGCGAACGGAGCGGCCGAUGGCAGAUUAGGUAGUUGGUGGGAUAAAAGCUUACCAAGCCGACGAUCUGUAGCUGGUCUGAGAGGACGACCAGCCACACGGGGACUGAGACACGGCCCAGACUCCUACGGGAGGCAGCAGUGGGGAAUUUUGGACAAUGGGCGAAAGCCUGAUCCAGCCAUGCCGCGUGCAGGAUGAAGGCCUUCGGGUUGUAAACUGCUUUUGUACGGAACGAAAAGACUCUUUCUAAUAAAGAGGGUCCAUGACGGUACCGUAAGAAUAAGCACCGGCUAACUACGUGCCAGCCGCCGCAGUAA
rnacentral:rRNA from 1 species